rnacentral:misc_RNA from 1 species
ACACUGUAUCCAAUAUACCUUGUGAACCGUUCUGUUCGGGUGCCAGUUGUCGGCGCUCGCAUACCUUUAUGGUAUGCUUGUUUCCGACGACUGGUGCCGUAUCACUUCACACCCAUUUCAUACCUUUGACUGAAUCUCUGCUAGUGACGCAAGUCCUGGCAAAUCUAAUUAAAAA